UCGAACGUAGGGAACUUUCGGGUUCCUGAGAGUGGCGAACGGGUGAGUAACACGUAGGUAAUCUACCCUCAAAUCGGGGACAACCCAGGGAAACUUGGGCUAAUACCGGAUGCGUGCGGCACCUAAAUGAUCCUGGUUGGAAUGGGAGGGAUUCCAUUUUGACUGGGAAGGUUAUUUAGGUGCCGUAUAAAAGGUGGCUGGAAACAGCUGUUGUUUGGGGAUGAGCCUGCGCUCUAUUAGUUAGUUGGUGGGGUAAUGGCCUACCAAGGCGAUGAUAGAUAGGCGGCCUUAACGGGUGGUCGCCCACACUGGGAUUGAGAUACGGCCCAGACUCCUACGGGAGGCAGCAGUCGAGAAUAGUCUACAAUGGACGAAAGUCUGAUAGUGCGACGCCGCGUGAACGAGGAAGCCCUUCGGGGUGUAAAGUUCUUUUAUAUGUGAGCAAUGCUUUAUAUGUGAAUAGCAUAUAGGGAGAGAUAUUAGCAUAUGAAUAAGCAACGGCUAACUCCGUG
rnacentral:rRNA from 1 species